rnacentral:rRNA from 1 species
AGAUACUGACACUCAGAUGCGAAAGCGUGGGGAGCAAACAGGAUUAGAUACCCUGGUAGUCCACGCCGUAAACGAUGUCUACUUGGAGGUUGUGCCCUAGAGGUGUGGCUUUCGGAGCUAACGCGUUAAGUAGACCGCCUGGGGAGUACGGUCGCAAGAUUAAAACUCAAAUGAAUUGACGGGGGCCCGCACAAGCGGUGGAGCAUGUGGUUUAAUUCGAUGCAACGCGAAGAACCUUACCUACUCUUGACAUCCAGAGAAUCUAGCGGAGACGCUGGAGUGCCUUCGGGAGC